CACGUAGGGGCCAAGCGUUGUCCGGAUUCAUUGGGCGUAAAGAGCUCGUAGGCGGUCUGUUGCGUCGGCUGUGAAAGCCACCGGGGCUCAACUCCGGGCCUGCAGUGGGUACGGGCAGACUGGAGUGCGGUAGGGGAGAAUGGAAUUCCUGGUGUAGCGGUGGAAUGCGCAGAUAUCAGGAGGAACACCAAUAGCGAAGGCAGCUCGCUGGGACGGUACUGACGCUAAGGCGCGAAAGCGUGGGGAGCGAACAGG
rnacentral:rRNA from 1 species